rnacentral:rRNA from 1 species
AACGGCGAGUGAAGCGGGAAGAGCUCAAAUUUGAAAUCUUCAAGGUUCUACCUUGACGAAUUGUAGUUUAAAGAAGUGUUUUCUGUUGGAGUUUUGGUAAAAGUUCUUUGGAAUAGGACAUCAUAGAGGGUGAGAAUCCCGUAUUUGACCAUUAUUUCCAGCUUUGUGAUACACUUUCAAAGAGUCGGAUUGUUUGGGAAUGCAGUCCAAAAUGGGUGGUAAAUUUCAUCUAAAGCUAAAUAUUGGCGAGAGACCGAUAGCGAACAAGUACCGUGAGGGAAAGAUGAAAAGAACUUUGAAAAGAGAGUUAAACAGUACGUGAAAUUGUCAAAAGGGAAGCGUUUGACACCAGUGUUGUUUUCUCGAAAAUCAAUUAAAAAAGGCUGGAUUUUGUGUUGUAUUGACUUUAUCAGCUUUCUGCACUCUUUUCCUGUCUUUUUUAAUGCACUUUUCGUUUAACAAGUCAACAUCAAUUUCUUUUGUUGUAAAAGGGUCAUUGGAAGGUGGCUUUCUUUUCGGAGAAAGUGUUUAUAGCCUUUGGCCUCUGCAAUCGGAGAGAUUGAGGUCUGCAGCGUAGAUCCUUCGGGGUUAGAUACAUUUGUGCUAAGUUAUAGCCUUUCAUAGACAACUUGUUGACUAUGAUCAGUCAUGUAGCUUACUCGCUUAUGCUAUUUUACCUAC